GAUGAACGCUGGCGGCGUGCCUAAUACAUGCAAGUCGAGCGAACAGACGAGGAGCUUGCUCCUCUGACGUUAGCGGAAGACGGGUGAGAAACACGUGGAUAACCUACCUAUAAGACUGGGAUAACUUCGGGAAACCGGAGCUAAUACCGGAUAAUAUAUUGAACCGCAUGGGUCAAUAGUGAAAGACGGUUUUGCUGUCACUUAUAGAUGGAUCCCGGCCGCAUUAGCUAGUUGGUGAGGUAACGGCUUACCAAGGCAACGAUGCGUAGCCGACCUGUGGGGGUGAUCGCCCACACGGGAGCUUGGACGCGGUCCAGACUCCUACGGUAGGCAGCAGUAGGGAAUGUGACGCAAUGGGCGAAAGCCUUACGGAGCGACGCCGCGCGAGUGAUGAAAGUCUUCGGAUCGUAAAACUGUGUUACUAGUGAAGAACAAAUGUGUAAGUAACUGAGCACGUCUUGACGGUACCUAAUCAGAAAGCCACGGCUAACUACGUG
rnacentral:rRNA from 1 species